UUAUGGCUCAGGAUUAACGCUGGCGGCGUGCCUAAUACAUGCAAGUCGAAUGGUAGUAGCAAUACAAACCAUGGCGAACGGGUGAGUAACACGUAGGCAACCUGACUUUAAGACGAGGAUAACCGUUGGAAACGACGGAUAAUACUGGAUAGGACAUCACAAAGGGCAUCCUUAGAUGUUUAAAGGUUAUCAUGCCACUUAGAGAGGGGCCUGCGGCGCAUUAGCUAGUUGGUGAGAUAACAGCCCACCAAGGCGAUGAUGCGUAGCCGGACUGAGAGGUUGAACGGCCACAAUGGAACUGAGAACGGUCCAUACUCCUACGGGAGGCAGCAGUAGGGAAUUUUCGGCAAUGGGCGCAAGCCUGAACCCGAGCAACGCCGCGUGAACAAAGAAGUUAUUCGUAAUGUAAAGUUCUUUUAUCUGGGAAGAAAAAACAAAUUGACGGUACCAGAUGAAUAAGCUCCGGCUAACUACGUGCCAGCCGCUGC
rnacentral:rRNA from 1 species